GACGAACGCUGGCGGCGUGCCUAACACAUGCAAGUCGAACGGAAAGGCGCUGCUUUUGUGGGGUGCUCGAGUGCCGAAGGGGUGAGUAUAACGCGAGUAACCUGUCCUUAUCAUUGGGAUAUCAUCUGGGAACAGGGGCUCUAAUAGGAUAGGAGCUACUGAUGCGUGUUGGGGGUUGGAAAGUUUCGGCGGUUCGGGAUGGACUCGCGGCUUAUCAGCUUGUUGGUGAAGUAGUGGAUUACCAAGGCUUUGAAGGGUAGCCGGCCUGAGAGGGUGACCGGCCUCAUUGGGACUAAGAGACGGCGCAGACUCCUACGUGAUGCAGCAGGCGGGAGUAUUGCACAAUGAACGCGAGUCUGAGGUAGCAACGCCGGGUGCGGGAUAACGGACUUCGAGUUGUGAACCGCUUUGGCAUGUGACGAGGCGUGAUUGACGGUAAUGGGUAAGGAGGCCCCGGCUAACUACGUG
rnacentral:rRNA from 1 species